GCUAGGCUUCUCAAUCAAGGAAAAUGGUUAUUUGCCAAGAAUGGGGAUGUCUCCAGCACCAUCUGUUGGUUGGAAUGGGACUCCUGGAGUUUCUAUGAGCCAUGUUAUUAAGAAAGUUGUCAGACUCGAUGUUCCUGUUGACAAGUUCCCUAAUUAUAACUUUGUUGGCCGUCUUUUGGGACCAAGAGGAAACUCCUUGAAAAGAGUGGAAGCUACGACUCGCUGCAGAGUUUAUAUACGAGGUCGGGGUUCA